UUUUUUUCUUAUACCCCUUUUUUUCGAAUUUUUUUUUAUAAUGAUAAAUGGAUAAUAAUGAAGAACAAGAAUAUAGACAAUUUUUACCACAUUUCGGCCCUUUUUUUUGGAAUAUGCUCUGAUACCACUUGAUAUGCACCAACUUUUGAGACUUAUGCAUUUCCUUCAAAAUUCCUGAAACAACUUUGUUAACUUUUGGAAUAUUAAUUCUUUUGUGACUCAAAGGAAG
rnacentral:lncRNA from 1 species